UACGUAGGGGGGCAAGCGUUUGUCCGGAUUUAUUGGGCGUAAAGAGCGUGUAGGCGGUUUGGUAGGUCCGCUGUGAAAAACUCGAGGCUCAACCUCGAGACGCCGGUGGAAACCAUCAGGCUAGAGUCCGGAAGAGGAGAGUGGAAUUCCUGGUGUAGCGGUGAAAUGCGCAGAUAUCAGGAAGAACACCCGUGGCUAAGGCGGCUCUCUAGUACGGUACUGACGCUGAGACGCGAAAGCGUGGGGAGCGAACAGG
rnacentral:rRNA from 1 species